rnacentral:pre_miRNA from 1 species
GGGCUACUCUCUAUUGGCAUGCACUUAUAUAUUUAAGCUGACAUGCCAAAGGAGAGCUGCCCUG